AGUGAACGCUGGCGGCAGGCCUAACACAUGCAAGUCGAGCGGAUGAAGGGAGCUUGCUCCUGGAUUCAGCGGCGGACGGGUGAAUAAUGCCGAGGAAUCUGCCUGUCAGUGGUGGAUAAGGUCCGGAAACGGGCGCUAAUACCGCAUACGUCCAGAGGGAGAAAGUGUGGGAUCUGCGGACCUCACGCUAUCAGAUGAGUCUAGGUCGGAUUAGCUAGUUGGUGGGGUAAAGGCCUACCAAGGCGCCGAUCCGUAGCUGGUCUGAGAGGAUGAUCAGCCACACUGGAACUGAGACACGGUCCAGACUCCUACGGGAGGCAGCAGUGGGGAAUAUUGGACAAUGGGCGAAAGCCUGAUCCAGCCAUGCCGCGUGUGUGAAGAAGGUCUUCGGAUUGUAAAGCCCUUUUAGUUGGGAGGAAGGGCAGUAAGUUAAUACCUUGCUGUUUUGACGGUACCAACAGAAUAAGCACCGGCUAACUUCGUG
rnacentral:rRNA from 1 species